UACGUAGGUGGCGAGCGUUGUCCGGAUUUAUUGGGCGUAAAGCGAGCGUAGGCGGUUUAGUAAGUCUGAUGUGAAAGUCACCGGCUCAACCUUGGAAGGUCAUUGGAAACUGGGGGACUUGAGUGCAGAAGAGGCGAGUGGAAUUCCAUGUGUAGCGGUGAAAUGCGUAGAUAUAAGGAGGAACACCAGUGGCGAAGGCAGCUCUCUGGUAUGUAACUGACACUGAGGCGCGAAAGCGUGGGGAGCAAACAGG
rnacentral:rRNA from 1 species